rnacentral:rRNA from 1 species
AUGGGCGCAAGCCUGACCCAGCAACGCCGCGUGAAGGAUGAAGUUUUUCGGAAUGUAAACUUCGUAAGAAUGGGAAGAAACAAAUGACGGUACCAUUUGUAAGCCCCGGCUAACUACGUGCCAGCAGCCGCGGUAAUACGUAGGGGGCAAGCGUUGUUCGGAUUUACUGGGCGUAAAGGGCGCGUAGGCGGCGUGACAAGUCACUUGUGAAAUCUCCGGGCUUAACUCGGAACGGCCAAGUGAUACUGUCGUGCUAGAGUGCAGGAGGGGCAAUCGGAAUUCUUGGUGUAGCGGUGAAAUGCGUAGAUAUCAAGAGGAACACCUGAGGUGAAGACGGGUUGCUGGGCUGACACUGACGCUGAGGCGCGAAAGCUAGGGGAGCAAACGGGAUUAGAUACCCCGGUAGUCCUAGCCCUAAACGAUGAAUACUUGGUGUCUGGAGUUUUAAUCCUCCGGGUGCCGUCGCUAACGUUUUAAGUAUUCCGCCUGGGGAGUAC